rnacentral:rRNA from 1 species
AUGGGCCCCUUAUCCAGAUUUCAUCCGCUCUCGGAGUUCGAUGAGGGUAAGAGGAGUUGCAGGCGAAGGCUUGCCGGACACAACCGACGGCGGAGGAAAACCCAGCCAACAGAUGUUGCUUCACAAUUGUUGCUUCCUGAAAACCAAGAAAAUGCAGCAAAUAGGACACAAGAUAUUGUCAAUCUGAUCACUGUUAUUGCACGCUUGCAAGGUGGUAAUGUUGGUAAACUACCCAGCAUCCCUCCGAUACCGGAUAAAGAUAAUCUGGUCCAAAUCAUAAGCAAAAUAAACUCAAUCAAUAAUGCAAACUCCCUGGCAAAGUCUCCUCCAUCAGAAGCCAUUGAUUUGAAUGCCUCGCAGGGGCAACAACAAGAUUCUUCUGUCCAAAAUGCAACAAAGGUGGUCGACAAGCAGACUGUGCCAUCAACCAUGGAUUUGCUAACAGUUCUAUCUGGUGCUCUUGGGACAUCAACCCCCGAGACCAAUACAUCUCAGUCCCAGGGGAGCAGUGAUAGCAGUGGUAAUAACAAGAGCAAGAGUCAUUCAACAGAGCCAGCAUGUGUUGUAAAUUCCCAUGAGAAAUCCAUUCGACCUUUUCCCGCAGCUGGUAUGUUAAGGAGUAGCAGCACCCAUGGAAGCCCACCUGAAGUAUAUAAGCAGCCAGACCGAGAUACCCAUCCGUACUUGUCGCUGCAAUUGUUUGGUAACAAUGAGGACAUUCCUGUGAAAAUGGACACUGCAAAUAAGUACUUGUCUUCCGAGAGCAGUAAUCCUAUGGACGAGAGGUCUCCUUCAUCCUCUCCACCUGUAACACACACAUUUUUCCCCACUCGUUCAGUAAAUGAAGGCAUCAGGCAUCCUCGUAUUGCUGACUAUGGAGAAGAUGGUGCAACAGUUGAGAACAGUACCACUCGGGCAUGGUGCGCGCCACCGCUUGAGCUUUUUAAGGAUUCAGAACGGCCAACGGAAAAUGGUUCACCACCAAACCCCACAUAUCAGUCAUGUUAUGCUUCAACAUCUGGUUCCGACCAUUCUCCAUCAACAUCAAAUUCAGAUGGACAGGAUCGUACUGGAAAGAUUAUAUUCAAGCUCUUUGGCAAGGAACCUGGCUCAAUCCCUGGGAACCUUCGUGACGAGGUUGUAAAUUGGCUGAAACACAGCCCCACUGAAAUGGAGGGUUACAUUCGCCCUGGUUGCCUUGUACUAUCCAUGUAUCUGUCAAUGCCAACUAUUGCAUGGGAUGAACUCCAAGAAAAUUUCCUCCAGCGAGUAAACUCGUUAGUUCAGGCUUCUGAUUUGGAUUUCUGGAGAAAAGGGAGGUUUUUAGUUCGAAGCGACAACCAGUUGGUGUCGUACAAAGAUGGAAUGACCCGCCUCUCAAAAUCAUGGAGAACAUGGAAUACCCCUGAGUUGACCCUUGUGACACCAAUUGCUGUUGUUGGUGGGAGAAAGACCUCCCUCGUUCUUAAGGGCCGUAAUCUAACGAUCCCGGGCACCCAGAUCCACUGCACCAGCGCGGGGAAGUAUAUAUCGAAAGAGGUACUGUGUUCAGCGUAUCCGGGUACUAUAUAUGAUGAUUCAGGAGUUGAGACCUUUGACUUACCGGGAGAACCAAGUCUUACUCUUGGGCGUUGCUUUAUUGAGGUUGAGAACAGGUUCAGAGGAAACAGCUUCCCUGUUAUUUUUGCGAAUAAAAGCAUCUGUCAGGAGUUAAGAAACCUUGAAGAUGAACUUGAAGAUUCGCGGUUUCCUGAUGUCUCUCCAGAUGAUCAGGUCCAUGAUGCUAGGCGGCUAAAGCCAAGGGAUCAAGUUCUGCAUUUUCUUAAUGAACUUGGCUGGCUCUUUCAGAAGGCCGCUGCAUGCACACCUUCCACCAAAUCAGAUGUUUCUCAUUCAGAGUUGAUUCAGUUCUCUACUGCACGGUUCAGACACCUUCUGUUGUUUUCUAAUGAGCGGGACUGGUGCUCCCUCACUAAAACACUACUCGAAAUUCUUACCAAGAGAAGUAUGGUUAGUGACGAGUUAUCACAUGAGACUCUGGAGAUGCUCUCCGAGAUUCAUCUUCUGAACAGGGCAGUGAAAAGGAAGAGUAGCCACAUGGUGCAUUUGCUUGUGCAGUUUGUUGUAAUUUGCCCUGACAAUUCCAAACUGUACCCUUUCCUUCCAAAUUAUCCCGGCCCUGGUGGUUUGACUCCAUUACAUCUAGCUGCAUCCAUUGAUGAUGCAGAGGAUAUAGUUGAUGCGUUGACAGAUGAUCCUCAACAGAUUGGUUUGAGCUGCUGGCACUCCGUGCUAGACGAUGAAGGGCUAUCUCCUGAAGUGUAUGCGACUUUCAGGAACAACGGCUCAUACAAUGAACUUGUCACGCGAAAGCUUAUGGACAGGAAGAAUAGCCAGGUUACCAUUGUGCUCAACAAAGGUGAAAUUCAUAUCGAUCAACCAGGGAAUGUUGGUGCGAAUAAUGCAUCUGGGAUCCAAGCAUUGGAAAUAAGAUCCUGCAACCAGUGCGCCAUUUUGGAGUCUGGCUUGCUAAGACGCCCUAUGCGUUCUCGAGGAUUGCUUGCUCGCCCCUACAUCCAUUCAAUGCUUGCCAUAGCAGCAGUGUGUGUCUGUGUCUGUGUAUUCAUGCGAGCUUUGCUGCGGUUUAAUUCUGGUAGGUCCUUCAAGUGGGAGAGGUUGGAUUUCGGUCCCACAUAGACAUUGGAGGAUGCCUUAUUACUUAGCCGCGUGAUGUUAUUAAGGAAAUACCUUACAGGAACCAGAGGGUGUGGAACCAGAUUGCUUUUAACCUUUCCAGUUUCCAUGGAGCUCUGCCCAUGGACAUGGAUGAUGAAAUGUAAUAUUUGCAUGGAUAAAACCUUGCCGGAAGUAAGUGUUGAUAUGUGGGGAUAAUCAGCAGCCAGCUUCUAAGGGCAGAGAGUCAAGAAAAGGGGGAUUGGAGAACCCUGCCAAAAGAUAAAACUUGGGCAGGGUUGGCACAUAGUAGUUUUGUGACGAGGGAGGAAGGUACCAGAGCUUGUCAAUGUCAAGAGCAAUAAGACAGAGGCAACAAUAGUUCUGUGCUUAAUCAUGCUUACUGUUUUGUCCUGUGUUUAGACGGUAGCAGGGGUAUAAAUGGUCGAUAGUGUCAGUAGCUAAAUAGGAAUGAGGCAGAUUUACAUGUGUAUCCGGAUCUAUUGGUUUAUUCGAUUACCAUCACAACUUUGGAGUGGAGUUCCCGUACUGUUUUGAUAGAAAGCCUGGGUAUCUUUUUUU